rnacentral:rRNA from 1 species
GAACGCUGGCGGCGUGCCUAAUACAUGCAAGUAGAACGCUGAAGAGAGGAGCUUGCUCUUCUUGGAUGAGUUGCGAACGGGUGAGUAACGCGUAGGUAACCUGCCUUGUAGCGGGGGAUAACUAUUGGAAACGAUAGCUAAUACCGCAUAACAAUGGAUGACACAUGUCAUUUAUUUGAAAGGGGCAAUUGCUCCACUACAAGAUGGACCUGCGUUGUAUUAGCUAGUAGGUGAGGUAAUGGCUCACCUAGGCGACGAUACAUAGCCGACCUGAGAGGGUGAUCGGCCACACUGGGACUGAGACACGGCCCAGACUCCUACGGGAGGCAGCAGUAGGGAAUCUUCGGCAAUGGGGGCAACCCUGACCGAGCAACGCCGCGUGAGUGAAGAAGGUUUUCGGAUCGUAAAGCUCUGUUGUAAGUCAAGAACGGGUGUGAGAGUGGAAAGUUCACACUGUGACGGUAGCUUACCAGAAAGGGACGGCUAACUACGUGCCAGCAGCCGCGGUAAUACGUAGGUCCCGAGCGUUGUCCGGAUUUAUUGGGCGUAAAGCGAGCGCAGGCGGUUUGAUAAGUCUGAAGUUAAAGGCUGUGGCUCAACCAUAGUUCGCUUUGGAAACUGUCAAACUUGAGUGCAGAAGGGGAGAGUGGAAUUCCAUGUGUAGCGGUGAAAUGCGUAGAUAUAUGGAGGAACACCGGUGGCGAAAGCGGCUCUCUGGUCUGUAACUGACGCUGAGGCUCGAAAGCGUGGGGAGCGAACAGGAUUAGAUACCCUGGUAGUCCACGCCGUAAACGAUGAGUGCUAGGUGUUGGAUCCUUUCCGGGAUUCAGUGCCGCAGCUAACGCAUUAAGCACUCCGCCUGGGGAGUACGACCGCAAGGUUGAAACUCAAAGGAAUUGACGGGGGCCCGCACAAGCGGUGGAGCAUGUGGUUUAAUUCGAAGCAACGCGAAGAACCUUACCAGGUCUUGACAUCCCGAUGCUAUUUCUAGAGAUAGAAAGUUACUUCGGUACAUCGGUGACAGGUGGUGCAUGGUUGUCGUCAGCUCGUGUCGUGAGAUGUUGGGUUAAGUCCCGCAACGAGCGCAACCCCUAUUGUUAGUUGCCAUCAUUCAGUUGGGCACUCUAGCGAGACUGCCGGUAAUAAACCGGAGGAAGGUGGGGAUGACGUCAAAUCAUCAUGCCCCUUAUGACCUGGGCUACACACGUGCUACAAUGGUUGGUACAACGAGUUGCGAGUCGGUGACGGCGAGCUAAUCUCUUAAAGCCAAUCUCAGUUCGGAUUGUAGGCUGCAACUCGCCUACAUGAAGUCGGAAUCGCUAGUAAUCGCGGAUCAGCACGCCGCGGUGAAUACGUUCCCGGGCCUUGUACACACCGCCCGUCACACCACGAGAGUUUGUAACACCCGAAGUCGGUGAGGUAACCUUUUGGAGCCAGCCGCCUAAGGUGGGACAGAUGAUUGGGGUGAAG